GAUGAACGCUAGCGGCAGGCCUAAUACAUGCGAGUCGAACGGGAUCCAGAUCAAAGCUUGCUUUGGUCUGGUGAGAGUGGCGCACGGGUGCGUAACGCGUGAGCAACCUACCCUUGUCAGGGGGAUAGCCCGGCGAAAGUCGGAUUAAUACCGCAUGACAUCAUUGAGAGGCAUCUUUCGAUGAUCAAAGAUUUAUCGGACAAGGAUGGGCUCGCGUGACAUUAGCUAGUUGGUAAGGUAACGGCUUACCAAGGCUGCGAUGUCUAGGGGCUCUGAGAGGGGAAUCCCCCAACCUGGUACUGAGCCACGGACCAGACUCCUACGGGAGGCAGCAGUAAGGAAUAUUGGGCAAUGGACGGAAGUCUGAACCAGCCAUGCCGCGUGCAGGAAGACGGCCCUAUGGGUUGUAAACUGCUUUUAUACGGGAACAAACGUCGGUACGUGUACCGGUCUGAGUGUACCGUAAGAAUAAGGAUCGGCUAACUCCGUG
rnacentral:rRNA from 1 species